ensembl:ncRNA lncRNA:CR45919 long non-coding RNA:CR45919
CGUAGUAGACGUUUAGGCGUCAACUAGUGCGCUUGGUGCUGCGCUUACACGUAAAGCACGCUCUGCUGAGGAGAACGCUGAAUUUGAAUCUUCAGAGGCCCAGGCUGAGACUGAGUCCUGCCAGGACCUCCUACACCACUAAACAACGACGGCGACAGCGACCAACUAACACCCAAACGUCGAGACCCACACUCAACAGUAAAGCUUAAUUUAAACAAAGACCAUUAAAUACAUAUUUCAAGUGACAGACUUGCAUUUCGACAGCCACACUAUUUUUUAAAAGAUCCUAACAUAAUCUAUAGAAUUCAACGAUACAAAAAGUGAUAAUGGUGUGCCAAAAAUUCAAAAUAAAUUGAUAUAAAAGUGUCGAGGCCCAAUGCCAAAAUAUGGAAAUGGCCAAGAGCUCUCUCUGCUAAAUAACUAAAUCAGUAAUUGAUUUUAAUGCGUUUUUCGAAAAUGUGCGCGUUAUAUAAAAUAUUUCCAUGGGUAUGUACUUGAUGUUGUAAUGGAAUAUACGUCUUCUAUGUAAUGAAAAUUUUUGAUGUGUCCUUUGAUGUCAAUGUCGUUGUUAUUUUCGUUAUUGUCGUUGUUAAAUAUUGUCCGAAGCAAAGCAACAAAAAUAUCAGACCCUUUGACCACGAUAAAGAGUAAUGAUGAUAUUGAGUGAGUAUGAACGAUAUUUUAUAUAAGUCAAUUACAAUUAGACUAGUUUUAAGUUCUAGAAGAUAAGUUUUUAAGUUUAAUUUUAAUUGACAAACCAAAAUAUUAACUUCAAUUGGCAAAGAAUCUCAAUUUAUUAAUCGUCUUUAAGCACACGAUUUUUCUGAUAAAAAUGAGUUUCCGCAAAGGUCAACAAGGUUAUCUAACCGUUCGUAAUGUUUGUAGUCACGUAGCUACCUUCAGAGAAUUCUUAUAUAAUAAUAAUAGGGGUUCUCGGAAUGGAGAUCUCUAAUGACCCAAAGAAAAAAAGUUUCUUGAUCAAACGAAAUUUGCUGCUGGAAUUACAAAUCAAAUGUUGUCCAAGCGGCUGGGAAAGAAAUCAAGUAUACGUCCAAGGGAAAACAGCAGAAACGGAAAAGUGCAAACAGAAAAGUUUCAACGAGCUGAAUUUGUACAACUCAUCAAAUAUUCCUUAGCCGGGGCCUGUGUGGGCGUGUGUUGAAACUACGGCAACUACAGGGCCAGCAAGGACAGCGCCCAGCACAGAGGACAUCGGCAACGCCGAGUCCUUCUGUUUCGAGGGAAUGAAAGGUUGCCAGUGGGGAGCGGGCAGCAUGUCGUAAAAUCGAGUUCAUCGUGAAUUCGAAACGAGAAGCCACAAACAGCAGGCAACCCUGCGAAUCUCAAGCACUCGCAGGAUGCUGGCUAUCCUUGCAAACACUCACACACACACACACACACACACAAAGUACUCCCACAUACACCAACAGACCGACUCACACACCAACACACUGAAGCGAGUGUCAUGCGUCGUACGCGAUGUCAAGGACCGCACCCAAAAAACUUUUUUCUCGCAACGCGAAUUUCUGACGAGCUCUGAGCUCUGAUGGACGGAUGGAUGGGUUUUGGGUGCCGCCAAUGCCAAUGAUUUGUAGGAGCAGCUUCUCCUUUCGCGGAGUGUGCACUGAACGAAAUUGUGGUUCAAAGUCGGAGGGUUUAAGAUUUUCAAAAGUAUUUUCAUAUACACUCAUUUAUUCAAAUAGGAAUUGGACUAAUUCUGUGAAUUUCAAUGUGAUGAUGAAAGGAAAGUGAUUAAUUUAAAAUGAAUAUUUUUAUUAGAGAUUUCACAUAUAAGAUUUAGACAAGUUAAUUAAUAGGAAGUGAUAAAAUACAUAAUUUUUAGGAUACAAUGGUGAAGGGUUAAAAAUUAAGUUCAACAAAGAAAUUAUUUGUUAGGGAUUUCUAUAUUAUACAAAUUUGUAUAAAUAUAUUUUUUAUGCUUUAAUAGUGUGGUGUUUUUAAACGAUAUGCUUAAAUUAUUUUGAUGAAAUUAAAUAAUGUUUUAAUAAUAUAUACAUAUUAGUAUAUAAUUUGAAGGUACAUUCCCGAUUUUUGUAGUGCAUACGCGAGUAUUAUUCGGCAAGUUACGUUAGUUAGCGGAAGGAAACAACAUUUUGAUGUGUCUCACAGCCUUCGUCUGCGAAGCCAAGGAAUUUUGUUCUUUCCAUAAAAACACAAGAGUGAAUAAAAUGCGAGAUUCCCGUGUUUUAUUAUCCUGCGCACACUUUAUUCAGCCGGCUCUUCGUUAUCUCUUACGCUCGGCUAGCGUACAAAUAUGUUCUGGCUACGUUUUUUGCUCGUUUUUCCGACUCUUCAGGGGAAGCUGGUUUUUACGAGUGCCUAGCCAUCACGGGUUCAUUCGCGCUGCUUUUUUGUCCAAUUCGUUUUUGGUUGUCUGCACUUGUUAGGACCUAGCUUUGUGCGUGUACAGCAAAUGGCUUUCAUGCACUUUUUGUCAGGUAGAAAAUAGUUCUAUUCAGUUCGCUUUGAGCAAAAAGUUCUUCAAGUCCUUCCAUGUUUUGGCUUUUUGUAAGCUUAAAGAUGGGAAAAAGUCCAGAGGACAGAUGGGUUUUUGAAAAAAAAUAUGACAAGAUUUAAAAUACACGUGGGUAUCUUAAACAAGCUUUCGAGUUUUGUAAUAUUUUAGAUUAGAUAUUUGUUGCGAGAAAAUCACUACUAAAUAAAUAGUAUUUCAAAUAAUUGCGCUACAAUAAGAAAAGUCUUACCUUAAGUAGUCGCCACAUUUGUUUCUGUAGCGGUUUGUGUUUCUUUACCUUAUUUUCACAAAAUCGAUCAUCACUUUAUUGUGGAGCAUUAAAUUAGUCGUGCAAAUAUUUACAUAUAAUGAAUUGCUUAAAAUAAGGGCAAGAAAAAAUCUAUAAGAUAAGCGCUAUGACCUCUAACACUUUCAUCCUUUCGCACGGCAAACAAGCUGGCUGACAUGUGAACAUCCUUUCCUUUAGACAUUGCUCCUCUGGGUGUCCUGCUGCCUGUCUGAGGCAAUAAAAGCCAGAAGAGGACGCAAAGCAGAAGCGAAACCAUUGACAUUAAAAUCAUGCAUAAGUGCUCAUAUGGCGGCAAUGCGACAGUGAUGAUGCCACCAGGAACUACAACAAAGGGGGCUAAUUGCCAGGCAUUGAAAUAAAGUGACAGUGGGGCAGACAGUGAAAGAGAAAAGGGAGCCGCUUUAAAAAUGCCAUAAAAACCCAUUGGGAGAAUAGUCCUUUCCUUAUCGACGAUUAAAAAAGGCAAACAUAGAACACAUACUUUUAGAGCAAAAUAAUCAAGGAUAUGUAUUUUUAAAAUUAUUUUAAUAUUUUACUAAACGAAUAAUACAGUAAAUCAUAAUUCCAACUUUAAGUUAUGGAGAUUUUUUUUAUGAAUAUACAACAAACCUGGUUUGAAAUUUUUAAAGUCAAAACGGAGCUUACCUUAGAGAAGAAUUUUAAAAUGUUUGAAACUCUAAAUUAUUUAAAACAAAUAAUAUAUCUUCGUUAGUUCUUAUUAAAAUAUAAAUACCUUUAAGCUGAUUUAAUAAAUUAAUAUGUACUAAAUUUAAUCCCAAUUUAUAUGUAUAAGUCUUGCAUAACAUAAAUAUAGCAAAAACCCGUUAUGAGAAAUCUAUGAUCUCAUCGUUCGCGUCGCUGGGUUAUUGCCAUUACAUAUGCAUAUUUUAUUUUUGUAUCUUUUGUAUCUUGCCCAAUGAAGCGAAUUCUAGGGCGGCUGGCAAUCGAUAAAUGCCAUCAAAAAAAUAUGAAAUGCCGCUGACAGACGAAGCGAAUAACUUAAAUAGCUACAGCGAGGACAUAGGGUAAAAUCUAUGAAGCCAAGGCUGCUGGGAGUUUGUCAGCUGUUUUAAUUUCCAUUCAUUGGCACGAAGGCAGCUGGCUGACACUUUCCACAGCUGAUUGCAUGCAAUUUUCAUUGUCGCCGCUUUGGGCGCCAAAUGCGAUGCAGGAAAAACGCUCAGGGGCAGAUUUUCCCUCAACCUAUUGUCCCUUCAAUGUGAAUGUGUGUCACGGGCCACGGGGUCCACCGUUUUCUUUACGGCCGCCUAUUCAGCUUGCUGUUUGCCGAUCAGCUGCUGCAAGACAACAAUGCACACAAUGCCGCUUUAUUUUCCAUCCCCAUCCCCAUUUUCCACUCCAGCCGCCUUCUGUCCUCUGUGCGAUUUUCCUCUGUUGUGCAUUUUCCAGAUGCAACCGGGAUUUCUAUCGGUCUGUGUGACUGAUUCGCCGUUUCGGUGUGUGUGAGAGCGUUUGAAAAAGGGAUAUCGAUCGGAAAAGCGAUUACACUUUGAUUUAUAGCUGAUUAAUUAUUCACAAAUGUGACUAAUAUGGCUGAAUAAAUAAUAUAUUCAGCAAAUUGUUUGAGAAUAAAAAAAGUAGUAUUUUUUAAGAACUCAUUAUACUUAAAAGGAGUGGGAAACCAGAACUAGGUAUAUCAAUAUUUUUGUAACGAACACAAUUCAUCAUACGCAAAUUUUCAUCUAUAAAAGAUUUAUAUACCACAUUAAUUUUAUAGUAUAGUAUUUCGAUACAGAUAUUAAAGUAUUAGGCAAUGACAUUCAUAAGAACAUUAAUAUAUUAUUUGAAUAUAUAAUGUAGUACAAAAAGUAGCUAUUUUGUUAUCUUACCAUAAGGACCAUAUACCAUAUCAGAUUAAUUAUAAUUCGCAUAGAGUAAGCUUAAAUUUCGUUUAAUAUCCAAACCACCAAUUUAGCUUUAUCAAUGUAUUACAAUCAGCUCAAAACCAACUUAACGGCAGCCCAACAAUAUGAGACUGUAAACAUAAUGACAUCGCGGCAUCCGCGGGCUCAAUCACCUUUGACGCUGUACAGCUGCCACCAUUGGUGGCGAGGGGUAAAUCACGGUUCGCAUUCGAUGAGGAGACGGGCGCAUAAACAGGAUAUAAAAAGUGCAUUGGCAGCGCUAUAAAAAAAAAAAACAGAACGCAAAAGGAUACACACGACUCCCAUUCAGAUACGCACACAGAUGAACAUAAUCGUAAAAUCAGCAAGGAUAACAAAUAUGCCAGGCAAUCGGUGAAUGAAACCCACUGGCAGCUGGCCCGCCAGGACGAGAACGCAAAUUGAGCUAAAACCGGAUUUCUGGCCUAAACUCAGAGAGCGAAAGAGAGCGAGCGUGAGUCUGUGAUCUCCCUGGAAGAGGAUCGCGAGCGUGAUCCUGUUACCGUUCAUCCCCUAAAUGUGCCCUACACUUUCCAUCCCGAACGUGAGUACUUAAGGACAUGCCCGGUAUCGGGGUUCUUGUAUCGCAGCGCAUUCGCCAAUCCGGGCAGUUCGAUCGCGACUUUGGUGCCGCACGGAUCACCAUUCUGGGUGAUUUCAAAUAUUAAAGUUUGAAAUAGAAGAAAAAAAACAUUUAAAAGGAAGAUCGUGAGAGUUCAAACCGGUUCGGUUCUCGGUUUCACUUUCGUUCGGUGACCUCAUGCGGCUUCGAUUCGGUCAAGGAUAUUCUCGCCAUUGGAUAUUAUCGCAACUUCAGUGAGUUUCGUUGUUACAUUGCAUAACGACAUAAAGCCCAAGUGUCCUUCGUCAUUUGGUACGUUUUUCUCCUGGUAUCCACUGUAGGCCUAUAUGUAUUUCCACCAUAAGGCACGCGGUGAAUGCCAAGAGCGAACGCAGUUCUACAAAUUACUCAUACCCAAUAAUAGACAGAAAGUGUUUAAAAGCCUGAAAUCAUAAUAGACAAAUUUGAAAUAAUAAAGAAAUUUGCG